UCAUAUUUUCUGCGGUAUCAUGUCUGCAAAUAGUGAAAGUUUGACUUCUUCUUUACCAAUAUGGAUGCCUUUUAUUUCUUUUUGUUGUCCGAUUGCCGAGGCUAAGACUUCCAGUACUAUCUUAAACAGUAAUGGUGAAAGUGAAC